GGUCCAGACAGCGUAAGGAUUGACAGGUUGAUUGUCCUUUCUUGAUUCUCUGGGUAGUGGUGCAUGGCCGUUCUUAGUUGGUGGAGUGAUUUGUCUGGUUAAUUCCGUUAACGAACGAGACCUUAACCUGCUAUUUAGUCGCUCGGUCUCCGUCCGUGCGCACUUCAUAGAGGGACUCUGCGGCGUCAAGCUGCGGUGAGGUUUAAGGCAAUAACAGGUCUGUGAUGCCCUUAGAUGUCCUGGGCUGCACGCGCGCUACACUGAUGCUUGCCUCGUGUUUACCCUCGGCCGAUAGGCCCUGGUAACCCCUAGUCUGCAUCGUGUUUGGGAUUGAUCUUUGCAAUUCUAGAUCAUGAACGAGGAAUGCCUAGUAUGCGCAAGUCAUCAGCUUGUGCAGAUUACGUCCCUGCC
rnacentral:rRNA from 1 species